UGUUAAAGUCCCACUGAUCAGCCAAACCAGCAUUCCCCUCAAAGCCGUCGUCCUUAUCCCCAAUCCACACCGUCGGCGGCCCAUCCAACCCGUCCCCAUCUGAUCUCCCCGUCGGCGGCGGCCCCCACCGCUUCCUUCCCCUCGCCGUCGCGAUACUGAGCAGACACUAGCAGAAGUAGGUGCUCCGUAACCCGCCCCCCAACACCAAAGUGGCACUCAUCACGCCCACGCGAGGUGGUCGACGAAGAGCCGCAGAGGAGGGGGAGGUGCUGGGUGGGAUCCGGCGGACCGCUCAUGUCGAGCGGCGCGGACGGAUCGGAUCCCUGCACGGGCCUUGACCCGGGGACGAUCCCAGAGCUGCCGGCCCAUGAACCUCCUGUGCUGCAGGCUCCGUCGCCGGCGCCGCAGCAGGAGGUGGUGGUGGCAUCGCAGACCGAGGCGCCGUUGCCAGCUGUCACCAUCGUGAUCUCGCGGCCAGGCGAGGAUGUUCAGAUGCCCGAUGCAAAGGGUGGCUCCCCGGCAUGCUCCCCGCAGGCCGGUGACGGCAAGCCUAUGGCCACCUCGGUUUCGUUGACCGCUUCGGCGGCCGCGAAGGAAGCCGGGCUGGCAAGGUCCGACUCCGACAGCUUGGACGACUACGAGCAAUGCAGGAGCAACACUUGUACUCUUAAUAAGCCCAGGUUCCAGUUAAGGUACCUGUGGACCAAGUGGCUGUCCUUGUUUUGGAAGGAACAAUGUAGAAUGCAUUGGCCUUGAUGAGUUUGUCAACAGAAGACAGAAGAACCUCUGGUCGACCUUGGAUGCAGAUGUCGUGGUGAUCUUGCAAAAGCACAUCGCACAUGCAUUGAUUUUUGGUUUCGUACUAGAGGUUCAAACAAGUGUGAGAUAUGCCAGCAGGUUGCUGUCAAUAUCGCCCCUCCAGAAACGCAAUCAAGUACAAGUUAUUGGGUUUGGAGGGUUGAUUCGACUUAUGGAAGGGGACGAGGAGGACGAGAAAGGGGAUGGUUUAGCCCACUUUGGGUUGCAUUUGCAAUUCUGAUUGGUGGUCUCUUAUUGGAUGUGCUGAUAUCUGUUUCUCUCGGUGUUUCCGCACUUCCUGUCAAUAUAAUAAUUGGUGUUCUUAUAGUUCUCGGAUUGGGCACCGCCCUUCAUCUAGCUCUUGAGUGCUGUCACGAAUGGGGCUCAAGGAGGAACGUGGCCAAUAUUCCGAGGCUGGAGAACAUAGCGCCGACUGGGUACCACCCUGCAGUAGUAUAAUCAUUAUGGGACUUGUAAAUAGCGUAGGAACAUCUAAGCUCGUGCUGGCUUUUGGAUUAUUAUGUUCUCGCAACUAGCUUUAGCUCACACGUGUUGCUCGUUAAUGUCGAGCUCAAAUUCAAAGCUCGUUGAUUACAAUCCAGUUCAUACUCCCACUAGUCCAAUCCAAUGUAAAUGCAGAGUUACUGAUACUCGGUCAUCACGGGCUAGUGCUCAUGCCAAACUGCCAGCACCUUAAUUGGAUGGUCUGGCUACCCAUUCAGCAUGACAGGGCUAGGUUCCUUCUUCCCUCCUUGUACGGUUUACUCUGACAAGUCACUUGUUGUGUUUCAUCUUUAUCUGUGGCUUGUCGGUAUAGGCAUUUGUGAAGGCCAUUUGAGCUAGUGUUGUUUUUGUACAUUUAUGUAGAGUUGUGGAUAUAACAUUUUUAUAUGAAUUAAUCUGCUGAUACGUUUCGUGA